UUGAACGCUGGCGGCAUGCUUUACACAUGCAAGUCGAACGGCAGCACGGGGGCAACCCUGGUGGCGAGUGGCGAACGGGUGAGUAAUAUAUCGGAACAUGUCCGGAAGUGGGGGAUAACGUAGCGAAAGUUACGCUAAUACCGCAUAUGCCCUGAGGGGGAAAGGGGGGGAUCGCAAGACCUCUCGCUUUCGGAGUGGCCGAUAUCGGAUUAGCUAGUUGGUGAGGUAAAGGCUCACCAAGGCGACGAUCCGUAGCUGGUCUGAGAGGACGACCAGCCACACUGGGACUGAGACACGGCCCAGACUCCUACGGGAGGCAGCAGUGGGGAAUUUUGGACAAUGGGGGCAACCCUGAUCCAGCCAUGCCGCGUGAGUGAAGAAGGCCUUCGGGUUGUAAAGCUCUUUCAGACGGAAAGAAACGGUCACGGCGAAUACCCGUGACUAAUGACGGUACCGUAAGAAGAAGCACCGGCUAACUACGU
rnacentral:rRNA from 1 species